GGAUCACUUCUUCUCUUCCAUCCUAAGCAAAAACACACAUACACAAACACAACAAGAAAACAUAAAUUUAUGAUGCUAAGCUUGAAAGAGAAACAAAAAACGUUCAGCAAUUAGUGAAAUUUUCGAUUGCAACCUCCAAGACAAAGCCUGAAUUUCAUACACAACAAGUGAAACUAGAAAACAUCAAAUUUGAUGAUUAAAAUAAAACAAAAAUCAAAAUUGGAAUAGUGAUCAGUGAUUGAAGACCACUUAAUUAACAAUCGGCGGCGAUUCAUGUUUUCAUAGCUGAAACAAGAAAUUUUCCGAUGAGCUUUCACGAAAUCAGAAUCAGAAGCAAGAGAUUUACGAUUACCUUAACCACUUCACCCAUGGUUG